rnacentral:rRNA from 1 species
AACGAACGCUGGCGGCAGGCCUAACACAUGCAAGUCGAGCGCCCCGCAAGGGGAGCGGCGGACGGGUGAGUAACGCGUGGGAACGUACCCUUUGCUACGGAAUAGCCUCGGGAAACUGGGAGUAAUACCGUAUGUGCCCUUCGGGGAAAGGAUUUAUCGGCAAAGGAUCGGCCCGCGUUGGAUUAGGUAGUUGGUGGGGUAAGUGGCCUACCAAGCCGACGAUCCAUAGCUGGUUUGAGAGGAUGAUCAGCCACACUGGGACUGAGACACGGCCCAGACUCCUACGGGAGGCAGCAGUGGGGAAUCUUAGACAAUGGGCGCAAGCCUGAUCUAGCCAUGCCGCGUGAGCGAUGAAGGCCUUAGGGUUGUAAAGCUCUUUCAGUGGGGAAGGAUAAUGACUGUACCCACAGAAGAAGCCCGGCUAACUCCGUGCCAGCAGCCGCCGGUU